rnacentral:sRNA from 1 species
AAAGAGAGUCAAAGAA